ACUCCUACGGGAGGCAGCAGUGGGGAAUAUUGCACAAUGGGGAAACCCUGAUGCAGCCAUGCCGCGUGUGUGAAGAAGGCCUUCGGUUGUAAAGCACUUUCAGUAGGGAGGAAGGUAGUGUAGUUAACACCUGCAUUAUUUGACGUUACCUACAGAAGAAGCACCGGCUAACUCCGUGCCAGCAGCCGCGGUAAUACGGAGGGGUGCGAGCGUUAAUCGGAAUUACUGGGCGUAAAGCGCAUGCAGGCGGCCUGUUAAGUCAGAUGUGAAAGCCCGGGGGCUUAACCUCGGAAUUGCAUUUGAAACUGGCAGGCUAGAGUCUUGUAGAGGGGGUAGAAGUUUCAGGUGUAGCGGUGAAAUGCGUAGAGAUCUGAAGGAAUACCAGUGGCGAAGGCGGCCCCCUGGACAAAGACUGACGCUCAGAUGCGAAAGCGUGGGGAGCAAACAGGAUUAGAUACCCUGGUAGCACAGAG
rnacentral:rRNA from 1 species